rnacentral:rRNA from 1 species
GAUGAACGCUAGCGGCAGGCCUAAUACAUGCAAGUCGAACGAUAUUUUCCAGCUUGCUGGGAGAGAAAGUGGCGCACGGGUGCGUAACGCGUAUGCAACCUACCUUUAUCAGGGGGAUAGCCCGGAGAAAUCCGGAUUAAUACCGCAUAAAAUCACAGAACGGCAUUGUUCAAUGAUCAAACAUUUAUGGGAUAAAGAUGGGCAUGCGUGUCAUUAGCUAGUUGGCGGGGUAACGGCCCACCAAGGCGACGAUGACUAGGGGAUCUGAGAGGAUGGCCCCCCACACUGGUACUGAGACACGGACCAGACUCCUACUGGAGGCAGCAGUAAGGAAUAUUGGUCAAUGGAGGCAACUCUGAACCAGCCAUGCCGCGUGCAGGAAGACCGCCCUAUGGGUUGUAAACUGCUUUUAUCCGGGAAUAAACCUCCGAUCGUGAUCGGAGCUGAAUGUACCGGAAGAAUAAGGAUCGGCUAACUCCGUGCCAGCCGCCGCCGUAA